GACGAACGCUGGCGGCAGGCUUAACACAUGCAAGUCGAACGCACCUUUCGGGGUGAGUGGCAGACGGGUGAGUAACGCGUAGGAAUCUACCCUUCUCUACGGGAUAGCUCCGGGAAACUGGAAUUAAUACCGUAUACGCCCUGAGGGAGAAAGAUUUAUCGGGGAAGGAUGAGCCCGCGUUGGAUUAGCUAGUUGGUGGGGUAAAGGCCUACCAAGGCGACGAUCCAUAGCUGGUCUAAGAGGAUGAUCAGCCACAUUGGGACUGAGACACGGCCCAAACUCCUACGGGAGGAAGCAGUGGAGAAUAUUGGACAAUGGGCGCAAGCCUGAUCCAGCCAUGCCGCGUGAGUGAUGAAGGCCCUAGGGUUGUAAAGCUCUUUCAGUGGGGACGAUAAUGACGGUACCCACAGAAGAAGCCCCGGCUAACUUCGUGCCAGCAGCCGCCGUAAGAC
rnacentral:rRNA from 1 species